UACGUAGGGUGCAAGCGUUAAUCGGAAUUACUGGGCGUAAAGCGUGCGCAGGCGGUUAUGUAAGACAGAUGUGAAAUCCCCGGGCUCAACCUGGGAAUGGCAUUGGUGACUGCACGGCUAGAGUGUGUCAGAGGGGGGUAGAAUUCCACGUGUAGCAGUGAAAUGCGUAGAGAUGUGGAGGAAUACCGAUGGCGAAGGCAGCCCCCUGGGAUAACACUGACGCUCAUGCACGAAAGCGUGGGGAGCAAACAGG
rnacentral:rRNA from 1 species